rnacentral:rRNA from 1 species
AUUGAACGCUGGCGGCAUGCCUUACACAUGCAAGUCGAACGGCAGCACGGGUGCUUGCACCUGGUGGCGAGUGGCGAACGGGUGAGUAAUAUAUCGGAACGUACCUUAUCGUGGGGGAUAACGCAGCGAAAGCUGUGCUAAUACCGCAUAAGCCCUAAGGGGGAAAGCAGGGGACCGUAAGGCCUUGCGCGAUUAGAGCGGCCGAUACCUGAUUAGCUGGUUGGUGAGGUAAAGGCUCACCAAGGCAACGAUCAGUAGCUGGUCUGAGAGGACGAUCAGCCACACUGGGACUGAGACACGGCCCAGACUCCUACGGGAGGCAGCAGUGGGGAAUUUUGGACAAUGGGGGCAACCCUGAUCCAGCAAUGCCGCGUGAGUGAAGAAGGCCUUCGGGUUGUAAAGCUCUUUUGUCAGGGAAGAAACAGCAGCUCUAACACAGUAUGCGAAUGACGGUACCUGAAGAGUAAGCACCGGCUAACUACGUGCCAGCAGCCGCCGUAA